rnacentral:rRNA from 1 species
CUGACCGUAAACGAUGCCAACUAGCGAUCAGGUGGUGGUAUUGUUAGCCCUGCCUGGGAGCUUCCCGGAAACGAAAGUCUUCGGGUUCCGGGGGUAGUAUGGUUGCAAAGCUGAAACUUAAAGGAAUUGACGGAAGGGCACCACCAGGAGUGGAGCCUGCGGCUUAAUUUGACUCAACACGGGAAAACUCACCCGGCCCGGACACUGUAAUGAUUGACAGAUUGAGAGUUCUUUCUUGAUUCGGUGGUUGGUGGUGCAUGGCCGUUCUUAGUUGGUGGAGUGAUUUGUCUGGUUUAUUCCGAUAACGAACGAGACUCUAACCUGCUAACUAGUCUUGCGAUAUGUUCGUCGUACGGACUUCUUAGAGGGAUCAGUGGUGUUCAGCCACACGAAAUUGAGCAAUAACCGGUCUGUGAUGCCCUUAGAUGUUCGGGGCUGCACGCGCGCUACACUGGAAGGAUCAACAUGCUCUUUUCCUGGGCCGAAAGGCCUGGGCAAACCUUUGAAAACCUUCCGUGAUCGGGAUAGGGAAUUGCAAUUAUUUCCCUUCAACGAGGAAUUCCCAGUAAGUGUGAGUCAUCAGCUCGCGUUG